UCCUUGCACCCUGAUGGUAGCCAAUCUUC
rnacentral:piRNA from 1 species